rnacentral:rRNA from 1 species
CCUCUGGUGUUCGGGUUGUCAUGCCAAUGGCAUUGCCCGGUAGCUAAGUUCGGAAUCGAUAAGCGCUGAAAGCAUCUAAGCGCGAAGCGAGCCCUGAGAUGAGUCUUCCCUGGCACUUUAAGUGUCCUAAAGGGUUGUUCGAGACUAGAACGUUGAUAGGCAGGGUGUGUAAGUGCUGCGAGGCAUUGAGCUAACCUGUACUAAUUGCCCGUGAGGCUUAACCAUACAACACCCAAGGGGUUU